GCAUUUCUCACAAACUCGCAUCUUUGGUCAUACGGAAAAUCCAUCACAGCAAAGCAAUUGACUUUUGACCAAAACUCGUCGAAUUCAUUAUCCAAAAUGUUUGGUUUAUACAUGUUGGCCAUGAUCUUAAGUAUAUAGGAUACCUUCCGGAAGUCACUGACCAUGCCCAGCUAUGAGAGUAGCUUGCCGGACAGGCUAUAAAUUUCCACCACCAGCAAGUCGUCGCCGUACAUCAACGCAAGCGCUUUUGGAGAUGGAUGGCAUGUACG